GAUUAGGAAAUAAUGAUAUCUGAUAUUAGUAUGUAAAUUGACAGUUACCACAAACAAACAUAAUUUUGCAUUUCUGAAGUAGAUUAAGCAGAUAUGUUGACCUUAGUCCUGGGGAUCUACAUACCUAUAGAAGCUGAAGUCAAGCCCGUAUGUGCUUUGCUGCGAUUCUCAACCUCAGCCUGAUGUAUCUGUUGGUGAGUUUUUUUUGUACAUCAUGACAUGAGGGAAGCCUGCCGUCGAUCAUCAUAGCUUCCUUCUCCAGCACAUCCAUGGCAUUUUGGAGAUCCAUGAGGGAGGCACUGGUCCUGGUUCGGAACAGCUCCUCAAUUUGCCGGACUAGGUCAAAGGCCUCUUGCGACGGCCGACAAAGCACACCAGGUUUGAAUUCCUUCAGCUUCAGUAAAGUACUGUGCUCUCCUUCAGAUGGUAGAGAGCACAGGUCUCUGUUGUUGUGAGGUCAGGUGCAGGACUGCGCUCCAUCAGCUCCUCCACUCGCAGGGCAGGACUGGCAGUUGGGACUGGAUUCCUCUGUCGGAUGCAGCCAAAUAGGUUUUCCAGACAGUCUUGGGUAAACCUGCUGGUCAACACAAACACGUGUCCCUGGGACAGCAUGUCUUCCUGAAUGGACAGUAUUGUAGAUGUUGCCAUCACAAUCCCUGUUUGUACAGGCUUCCAACUACUCGGCUGUCCAAUCUUCAGUCCACGGAACAGUUGGAUCGUGUCCUCGAGGAACUUGAUGGCCUUUUGGUACUCCUCCAUCUUGUGCCUGCUCAGUGCCAUUACUGGGUGGCGAGAAGUAGGGAUGUCACGAGAACCGAUACUUACGGUACCUUCCGAUGCUAAAAUAACAAAACACCGAUGAUGCCCAU